CAAAGGAAUUGACGGGACCGCACAAGCGGUGGAUGAUGUGGUUAAUUCGAUGCAACGCGAAAACCUUACCCACCUUUGACAUGGCAGGAAUCCCGAAGAGAUUUGGGAGUGCUCGAAAGAGAACCUGCACACAGGUGCUGCAUGGCUGUCGUCAGCUCGUGUCGUGAGAUGUUGGGUUAAGUCCCGCAACGAGCGCAACCCUUGCCAUUAGUUGCUACGAAAGGGCACUCUAAUGGGACUGCCGGUGACAAACCGGAGGAAGGUGGGGAUGACGUCAAGUCCUCAUGGCCCUUAUAGGUGGGGCUACACACGUCAUACAAUGGCCGGUACAGAGGGUAGCCAACCCGCGAGGGGGAGCCAAUCCCACAAAGCCGGUCGUAGUCCGGAUCGCAGUCUGCAACUCGACUGCGUGAAGUCGGAAUCGCUAGUAAUCGCGGAUCAGCAUGCCGCGGUCGAAUACGUUCCCGGGCCUU
rnacentral:rRNA from 1 species